CCCUUCUGCGCCGCCGCUAACGCAUUAAGUGUUCCGCCUGGGGAGUACGGCCGCAAGGUUGAAACUCAAAGAAAUUGACGGGGCCCCGCACAAGCAGUGGAGCAUGUGGUUUAAUUCGAUGCUACGCGAAAAACCUUACCAAGACUUGACUUCCCGGUGUAAGCCUUUAGAAAUAUAGGCCCCCUUCGGGCACCGGUGACAGGUGGUGCAUGGUUGUCGUCAGCUCGUGCCGUGAGGUGUUGGAUUAAGUUCCGCAACGAGCGCAACCCUCGUCGUUAGUUGCCAGCAUUAAGUUGGGCACUCUAGCGAGACCGCCGGCGUCAAGCCGGAGGAAGGUGGGGAUGACGUCAAGUCAUCAUGCCCCUUACGUCUUGGGCUACACACGUGCUACAAUGGCCAGUACAACGGGCUGCCACGGCGCGAGCCGGAGCGAAUCCUCAAAGCUGGUCUCAGUUCGGAUUGUAGGCUGCAACUCGCCUGCAUGAAGCUGGAAUUGCUAGUAACCGUGGAUCAGCAUGCCGCGGUGAAUACGUACUCGGGGCUUGUACACACCGCCCGUCACACCACGAAAGUAGGCAACACCCGAAGUCCGUGGGCUAACCGCAAGGAAGCAGCGGCCGAAGGUGGGGUCAAUGAUUGGGGUG
rnacentral:rRNA from 1 species